rnacentral:rRNA from 1 species
UACGAAGGGGGCUAGCGUUGCUCGGAAUGACUGGGCGUAAAGGGCGCGUAGGCGGUUUGUACAGUCAGGUGUGAAAUUCCCGGGCUCAACCUGGGGGCUGCACUUGAUACGUAUGAACUGGAGUGGGGAAGAGGGUCGUGGAAUUCCCAGUGUAGAGGUGAAAUUCGUAGAUAUCGAGAGGAACACCAGUGGCGAAGGCGAGUCUCUGGACGACACCUGACACUGAGGCACGAAAGCCAGGGGAGCAAACAGG